rnacentral:rRNA from 1 species
GACGAACGCUGGCGGCGUGCUUAACACAUGCAAGUCGAACGCUGAAGACCUGGCUUUUGUUGGGUUGGAUGAGUGGCGAACGGGUGAGUAACACGUGAGUAACCUGCCCUCUUCUUUGGGAUAACGCCCGGAAACGGGUGCUAAUACUGGAUAUUCACUGGCCUUCGCAUGGGGGUUGGUGGAAAGGUUUGUUCUGGUGGGGGAUGGGCUCGCGGCCUAUCAGCUUGUUGGUGGGGUGAUGGCCUACCAAGGCUUUGACGGGUAGCCGGCCUGAGAGGGUGACCGGUCACAUUGGGACUGAGAUACGGCCCAGACUCCUACGGGAGGCAGCAGUGGGGAAUAUUGCACAAUGGGCGAAAGCCUGAUGCAGCGACGCCGCGUGAGGGAUGGAGGCCUUCGGGUUGUAAACCUCUUUCGCUCAUGGUCAAGCCGCAACUGUGGGUUGUGGUGAGGGUAGUGGGUAAAGAAGCGCCGGCUAACUACGUGCCAGCAGCCGCGGUAAUACGUAGGGCGCGAGCGUUGUCCGGAAUUAUUGGGCGUAAAGGGCUUGUAGGCGGUUGGUCGCGUCUGCCGUGAAAUUCUCUGGCUUAACUGGGGGCGUGCGGUGGGUACGGGCUGACUUGAGUGCGGUAGGGGAGACUGGAACUCCUGGUGUAGCGGUGGAAUGCGCAGAUAUCAGGAAGAACACCGGUGGCGAAGGCGGGUCUCUGGGCCGUUACUGACGCUGAGGAGCGAAAGCGUGGGGAGCGAACAGG